GAGCUGAAGUCAGAUGCUUAACUGAUUGAGCCACCCAGGCGCCCCUGUGUUUCUUAUUCGUAGUUGAUCUAACAGAUAAUAGUUGGUUCAAAAUAAUAAUGACAAUGUAUUUAGUCAUUACAGCUUACAUGUGAGUGAAUGACAGCAACAUUAUAAGGAACAGCAGGGAACGAUAGGGAAUAUUCUGUUCGAGAAUACUUGGACAGCUCCAGGAGGCAGUAUGCCAUCAUUUGAAAGUGGACUUGGGUUAAUUGUAAAUGUGUACUGCAAACUCUAGGGCAACCACUAAAAAAAUAAAUAAAUAAACAAAGAGGUAUAAUUGAUAUGCUGAGACAGGGGAGAAAGGGAAUCAUAUAAGAUGCUCAAGUAAACCAGUGAAGGCAGAAAAAAAAAGGGGAGGGGAAGACAAGAAAAGAAACAAGGAACAAGGGCAAUGAAUAGAAGCCGUUACAAAUAUGGUAAAUAUUAAUCUAACUACAUCAAUAAUUCCUUUAUAUAUGAAUGGUCUAAAUACACCAACAAGUGUAUCAGUGUUUUCAAUCCAUCAUAGUAAAAUGUGCAGAUCCUCCCUCCUCCUUUUCUUGAUAAAGACUUUAUUAUAAACGCUGAUGGCACUGGCAUUAUAAAGUUGGGGAAGGAAACUGAAUUGGAAGAGAAUUAGGGAAGACACUGAGCUGGGCUUGAGAUGCCAGGUGCUGGGAGACAUCAGGUCAAUACAUUUCCCAUAUAUCGCAGGCCAGUACCUUUUGUUUUCCCCGUGUAACGUGGGGGUCCCCAAGGACCAUAGCCACUAAAGGAUCAGCUUGGUGGUGAUAUUGUACUUGACCUCCAUCAAUGUUUGUUGAGCACUUAGUGUAUAUUCGGUGUAGGUACUUGAUAUUAAAAAAUGAAUGGGGCACUGUUUCUGCAAUCACAGUGUCGGGCAGGUGAGCAUAUCACCAGAUUACUUAAAUAAUGAGCAGCAAGUUCCCGGAUUUCAUAAUUUAUGAGUUGUCUAGUUAUUAUAUUCAGAGGCCAAAACCCAAGAGUGUUUAGAUAGAUUUUGCUUGGUCCCUAUAUAUUUAAAUUAAAAAAAAAUUGUUGCUGAUAUUUAUAAGUUAAGAUAAUUCACAUAAAAAUAAGGGCUUUCAGCUUUUCUGGAAAAACUGGAAGGACUGCCGAUGCUGGCCCUGCUUUCCCACACAGUGAUGAGAGGCCAGAGCUGAGGCAAGGUUACGUCCUUUAGAUAAGGCACAUGUUCUCCAGCCCAUCACACUCCAUACCACAUCGUAUCGUCCCUGACAUUGAAGCCAAGUGUCAGUUCCUUUUUAUCCUUCUUCUUAUACUGUUCUCCUGGGUUCAUUUUACUCAUACACUUUACCUCUCAGCACUGUAAACAUUUGAGUUUAUGACCUCUAUUAGAACUGUAAUUCUCGUGAAAAGCAACAUAUAAAUGAGAACCAAAUGAGUAGUAUUUUGUUUAAUCACCAAUAUUAAAGGGAAGUCUGUUCAUGCCUGUUGUUCUUAACAGCAUUCCCUCCAAAAUGCCCCCCUGAUGUGUAACCAAAGUAGACAUUUAUCAUCAGCAGGCCUCCAAACCAUCCUUCCCAUCUCUCUCUGCUCAGGUCUGGAGAGGAAGGCUGGGCCAUUUUGGUAUGACUUAUCGUAGUUUGGCUGAAAAAGUUCAACAUCUGUUGGUAUUUAGGGCAUUCAUCGUCUCUCAGGCUGGCCAUGUGCCUCCUCUCUCUGAGAGGUCUGAGGUGGACACUGGUGGUGAGCUUCGGGGGCUGAAGGAAGUGCACUGUCAGCCCCAGGGUUUGUUUUUGCAAUGUGGGUGAUCCUGCUGUGUUUUUUCACCAUGAAACCGGAAGGGCAAAAAAGACAUGGUGGCAGGCAUUGGGAGGUAAAAUCAUGCUGGGAAGAAACAGAAGUGUCACAAAAGGUAUGCCCACGCAUUCCGUGGGCAUCUAGGUUCGGGAGAACCUGAAUUUUGUUGGUGGGCUUGAAGGAUAUUUCAGUACGGCCUUGACAAGUAGGCCUUGAAGCCUAGACAGACCUGGUCUCUUAUCUUCAUUGUUCCAGUGACUAGCCGUGAGACUUAGGGCUUGAGACUGCCUCUCUCUGCUUUAGUUUUCUUUUCUCCAAAAGGGAAAAACUAGUAGUAUCUUAUAUUUGAUGUGUGUGUGUUGGGGUGUGUGUUGUCAAAUUAGAUGGCAGGGAAUGGGUUUGGUGGGUUUAAGUUAUCUUUCUGUGCUGUUAUAGCCUAGACUGGUUCUCCAUUGGGCACUUGUGUAUAAUGUUUGAUGUGAACGUGAUAUGGUCACCCAAAGUGUUGAUAUGGUUUGGACUUAUAUGGAGAGGAAACCAUUGUUUUUUUUUUUUUAACGUAAGGCAGAAGGUCUCAACCUAAGAAGGAAUUCAUGAUGUUCGGCACUACAGUCCUGCCAAUACCUGGGGAUGCAUGUCUCCAUGACUAGAACCUACUUUUCUUCACUAGUACCUCUUGCCUGGUUAGUAAAGCCUGCAUGGAAGCAGUCUCAGGCAUCACAUCUCCCGGACAACCAGGGGGCUGUUGUGUUUUCCUCUAAGUUGGUUUCAACCCAUCUGCCUUUGGAACAAUUGGAAGUCUGUAUUUUUACGAGGAGCCCGUGACUCUUGGUGAUGUUGGAAUCGUAUGACAUAUACAGUCAUUUCUAACUUCCAUUUAUGUAUCCUUUACUAUUUCUGCCAAGCAGGAAUCAUUCAGGCUGCAUUCACCUAAAUCAUGGUGGACUUGGAACGUCUGCCACAUACAAAUGGCAACUGGCUAAAAGAAUAUAUUGCCAAACUCCAAGUCCACAGCUUGCUCCUGAACUCUUUCCAACUACGGAUUUUUGAUUAACUUCAUCAACUAUUGUCCUGCUACAUUUGCCGCUGAACAGAUGACACGUAUAUGGUUGGCUUAGUGGAAAAUUGUAUUGGGACAGCCUUUGGAGCCUUUUAAAACAGGUAUUGGUGAUUGUCUUGGAACUCGGGCUAUUUCUGCCUGUUCAUUUACUGGUUUCAAAUCAGCUUCAGAACUGUGUUUCAUCAUUUAGAUUCUGAAAUUUAUUUGUGAAAUAUUACAACACAAGAAACCUGGAGUGAUUCUAAGUUUCUUAAAGACAAGGAUUCAUUUUGUUUAUUUCUGCAUGUCCACAACAAAAAGUUUCUGGCACAUAGGAAAUGUUUAGCAGGUAUUUGUGGAGUAUGGAAUGACUGAAUGUAAGUGGUGGGGAUCUUCUUUUAUUUUCAUCUUUUUGUUUUCUAUUUUAUUAGAUUUUAUUAUAAGACUUAUAAUAGGUACAGUAUAUUAAUAAAGUGAUUCAGAGAUAUA